UCGCAUCUGUGCAUGCAGCAUAUCAAUAAGCGGAGGAAAAGAGGGCUACUACCUACGCUUAGGAUGUUGACGCAUGAGAUAUACGCAUCUGUGCAUGCAGCAUAUCAAUAAGCGGAGGAAAAGUCAACUACCUACGCUUAGGAUGUUGACACGCGCGCGUGCUCGACUCUAUACAUGACUCUGUGCAUAUCAAUAAGCGGAGGAAAAGAAACUAACAAGGAUUCCCUUAGUAACGGCGAGUGAAGCAGGGAAGAGCUCAAAUUUGAAAUCUUCAAGGCUUUUACCCUGACGAAUUGUAGUUUAAAGAAGUGUUUUCCUGCUGAAGUUUUGGUAAAAGUUCUUUGGAAUAGGACAUCAUAGAGGGUGAGAAUCCCGUAUUUGACCAUUAUUUUCAGCUUUGUGAUACACUUUCAAAGAGUCGGAUUGUUUGGGAAUGCAGUCCAAAAUGGGUGGUAAAUUUCAUCUAAAGCUAAAUAUUGGCGAGAGACCGAUAGCGAACAAGUACCGUGAGGGAAAGAUGAAAAGAACUUUGAAAAGAGAGUUAAACAGUACGUGAAAUUGUCAAAAGGGAAGCGUUUGACACCAGUGUUGUUUUCUCGAAAAUCAAUUAAAAAUGGCUCGAUUUUGUAUUGCUUGAGACCUUAAAAGCUCACUGUACAUUUUUCGUGUCUUUUUUAAUGCACUUUUCGUUUAACAAGUCAACAUCAGUUUCUUUUGUUGUAAAAGGGUCAUUGGAAGGUGGCUUUCUUUUCGGAGAAAGUGUUUAUAGCCUUUGGCCUCUGCAAUCGAAGAGACUGAGGUCUGCAGCGUAGACUCUUCGGGGUUAGAUACAUUUGUGCUAAGUUAUAGCUUUUUAUAGACGACUUGUUGACUAUAAUUAGUCUUGUAGCUUACUCGCUUAUGCUAUUUUACCUACGCUUAGGAUGUUGACGCAUGAGAUAUACGC
rnacentral:rRNA from 1 species